rnacentral:rRNA from 1 species
UACGUAGGGUGCGAGCGUUAAUCGGAAUUACUGGGCGUAAAGCGUGCGCAGGCGGUUUGUUAAGACAGAUGUGAAAUCCCCGGGCUUAACCUGGGAAUGGCAUUUGGGACUGCAAGGCUUGAGUGCGGCAGAGGAGACUGGAAUUCCUGGUGUAGCAGUGAAAUGCGUAGAUAUCAGGAGGAACACCGAUGGCGAAGGCAGGUCUCUGGGCUGACACUGACGCUCAUGCACGAAAGCGUGGGGAGCAAACAGG